rnacentral:rRNA from 1 species
CGAGCGGAAGAAGGGAGCUUGCUCCCGGAUGUUAGCGGCGGACGGGUGAGUAACACGUGGGUAACCUGCCUGUAAGACUGGGAUAACUCCGGGAAACCGGAGCUAAUACCGGAUAGUUCCUUGAACCGCAUGGUUCAAGGAUGAAAGACGGUUUCGGCUGUCACUUACAGAUGGACCCGCGGCGCAUUAGCUAGUUGGUGGGGUAAUGGCUCACCAAGGCGACGAUGCGUAGCCGACCUGAGAGGGUGAUCGGCCACACUGGGACUGAGACACGGCCCAGACUCCUACGGGAGGCAGCAGUAGGGAAUCUUCCGCAAUGGACGAAAGUCUGACGGAGCAACGCCGCGUGAGUGAUGAAGGUUUUCGGAUCGUAAAGCUCUGUUGUUAGGGAAGAACAAGUGCGAGAGUAACUGCUCGCACCUUGACGGUACCUAACCAGAAAGCCACGGCUAACUACAUGCCAGCAGCCGCGGUAAUACGUAGGUGGCAAGCGUUGUCCGGAAUUAUUGGGCGUAAAGGGCUCGCAGGCGGUUUCUUAAGUCUGAUGUGAAAGCCCCCGGCUCAACCGGGGAGGGUCAUUGGAAA